rnacentral:rRNA from 1 species
AUUGAACGCUGGCGGCAGGCUUAACACAUGCAAGUCGAGCGGAGAGAGGUAGCUUGCUACUGAUCUUAGCGGCGGACGGGUGAGUAAUGCUUAGGAAUCUGCCUAUUAGUGGGGGACAACAUUUCGAAAGGAAUGCUAAUACCGCAUACGUCCUACGGGAGAAAGCAGGGGAUCUUCGGACCUUGCGCUAAUAGAUGAGCCUAAGUCGGAUUAGCUAGUUGGUGGGGUAAAGGCCUACCAAGGCGACGAUCUGUAGCGGGUCUGAGAGGAUGAUCCGCCACACUGGGACUGAGACACGGCCCAGACUCCUACGGGAGGCAGCAGUGGGGAAUAUUGGACAAUGGGGGGAACCCUGAUCCAGCCAUGCCGCGUGUGUGAAGAAGGCCUUAUGGUUGUAAAGCACUUUAGGCGAGGAGGAGGCUCUUUUGGUUAAUACCCAAGAUGAGUGGACGUUACUCGCAGAAUAAGCACCGGCUAACUCUGUGCCAGCCGCCGCCGUAA